rnacentral:misc_RNA from 1 species
UUGAAUAAACUUGGUUGGGUUGUUGCUGGUUCUUAGGAACAUGUGCACGCCUGAUGCCAUUUUUAACCACCUGUGCACUUUUUGUAGACUUGGAUACCUCUUGAGAGAAAUCUCAGAUUGAGAAUUGCUGUGUGAAAGCCAGCCUUUCUUACAUUUCCAAGUCUAUGUUUUCAUAUACUCCAUAAGAAUGUAAUAGAAUGUUUGUCAAUUGGCCUUUGUGCCUCUAAAACAAAUACAACUUUCAACAACGGAUCUCUUGGCUCUCGCAUCGAUGAAGAACGCAGCGAAAUGCGAUAAGUAAUGUGAAUUGCAGAAUUCAGUGAAUCAUCGAAUCUUUGAACGCACCUUGCGCUCCUUGGUAUUCCGAGGAGCAUGCCUGUUUGAGUGUCAUGAAAUUCUCAACCUUUCUGGCUUUUUGUAAGCUAGUUAGGCUUGGAUUAUGGGAGUUGCUGGUUUUUCUGAAAUCAGCUCUUCUUAAAUGCAUUAGCAAAACUUUUGCUGAACAUCCUUGGUGUGAUAAUUAUCUAUGCCACUGAUGCCAGCUCUUUAAAAACUUUGCUUCAAAUAGUCCUUUCAAGGACAACUUUUGACAAU